rnacentral:rRNA from 1 species
UACGUAGGGGGCGAGCGUUGCCCGGAGUUACUGGGCGUAAAGCGCACGCAGGCGGUCUGCUAAGUUUGGAGUGACAGUUGGUGGCUUAACUGCCAAAGUGCUUCGAAAACUGACAGACUUGAGGGCCUCAGAGGGACACGGAAUUCCGGGUGGAGUGGUGAAAUGCGUAGAGAUCCGGAGGAACACCAAAGGCGAAGGCAGUGUCCUGGGGAGUACCUGACGCUCAGGUGCGAAAGCCAGGGGAGCGAACGGG